AGAACGAACGCUGGCGGCAGGCCUCAAACAUGCAAGUCUAGGGGGUGUAGCAAUACAUCACCGGCGGACGGGUGCGUAACACGUGGGAAUGUACCUAUUGGUUCGGAACAACGCAGGGAAACUUGCGCUAAUACCGAAUGUGCCCGAAAGGGGAAAGAUUUAUCGCCAAUAGAUCAGCCCGCGUAGGAUUAGCUAGUUGGUGAGGUAAUGGCUCACCAAGGCUCCGAUCCUUAGCUGUUCUGAGAGGAAGAUCAGCCACACUGGGACUGAGACACGGCCCAGACUCCUACGGGAGGCAGCAGUUGGGAAUCUUGGACAAUGGGCGAAAGCCUGAUCCAGCCAUGCCGCGUGAGUGAUGAAGGCCUUCGGGUUGUAAACUCUUUCGACGGGGACGAUAAUGACGGUACCGUAGAAGAGCUCCGGCUAACUUCACGCCAGCAGCCGC
rnacentral:rRNA from 1 species